rnacentral:lncRNA from 1 species
UUUGAGAGAAGAAAAAAAAAAGAUCAAAGAGUGUCAAUAAGAAAAGAAAACCAAUAGGAACCAAGAAAAUAAAGAAGAAAAACUCUUGAGUGUGUCAAUUAGAAUUCCCCAAAGUAAAAAAAAAUGAAUGAAAGAUCAUAAUGGGGAAAGAAAAAGAGUGUCAAGUUCUUAGUUGGUUGAUCAUGUAAAUAAAAAAAAAAAAGAGAGAGUUCACUUGGUGAGAAUGUGAGUGAAGUGUAUAUACUUGGGUUUUGAAAUAUAAAAGAUGGGUAGAAUUUGUAAUCACUUAGGAAGAAGAGUAGAAUGAUGAGAAUGAGCUAUGUAUGCUUGAAUUGCUCCUAGUCUU